GACUAACACUGGGCUGUUUAACACCUCAGACUCAGCAGCUGUAGAUUCUUCAGUUGAGGCCUUUUCUCAGUGAGAGUAGAGGAGACUGGGGAACAGACUAACACUGGGCUGUUUAACACCUCAGACUCAGCAGCUGUAGAUUCUUCAGUUGAGGCCUUUUCUCAGUAAGAGUAGAUGAGACUGGGGAACAGACUAACACUUUUAGACUCUAGUUUAUUAUGAAAAUAUUAUUUAAGUUAAAAUAAUUAAGAAUUAAAUUAAUUCUCUGCCCCCCUAUUAUACAACAGAAAUGUUUAUUUGUGUAUUUAUACUACCACGGUACCCAACCCUCUGAUAUGUGUAUUUAUACUACCACAAUACCCUCUGAAAUGUGUAUUUAUACUACCACAGUACCCUCUGAUUUGUGUAUUUAUACUACCACAGUACCCUCUGAUAUGUGUAUUUAUACUACCACAGUACCCUCUGAUUUGUGUAUUUAUACUACCACAGUACCCUCUGAUAUGUGUAUUUAUACUACCACAGUACCCUCUGAUGUGUGUAUUUAUACUACCACAGUACCCAACCCUCUUAUAUGUGUAUUUAUACUACAACAGUACCCUCUGAUAUGUGUAUUUAUACUACCACAGUACCCUCUGAUAUGUGUAUUUAUACUACCACAGUACCCUCUGAUAUGUGUAUUUAUACUACCACAGUACCCUCUGAUAUGUGUAUUUAUACUACCACAGUACCCUCUGAUUUGUGUAUUUAUACUACCACAGUACCCUCUGAUAUGUGUAUUUAUACUACCACAGUACCCUCUGAUUUGUGUAUUUAUACUACCACAGUACCCUCUGAUAUGUGUAUUUAUACUACCACAGUACCCUCUGAUAUGUGUAUUUAUACUACCACAGUACCCUCUAUGUGUAUGUAUACUACCACAGUACCCUCUGAUGUGUAUUUAUACUACCACAGUACCCUCUAUGUGUAUUUAUACUACCACAGUACCCUCUGAUGUGUAUUUAUACUACCACAGUACCCUCUGA
rnacentral:lncRNA from 1 species